UACGUAGGGGGCAAGCGUUGUCCGGAAUCAUUGGGCGUAAAGAGCGUGUAGGCGGCUUGUCACGUCGGUUGUGAAAGCCCGGGGCUCAACCCCGGGCGUGCAGUGGAUACGGGCUGGCUAGAGGCAGGCAGGGGAGAACGGAAUUCCCGGUGUAGCGGUGAAAUGCGCAGAUAUCGGGAGGAACACCGGUGGCGAAGGCGGUUCUCUGGGCCUGUACUGACGCUGAGGAGCGAAAGCGUGGGGAGCGAACAGG
rnacentral:rRNA from 1 species